rnacentral:rRNA from 1 species
GACCGGAGGAGGUGAACGGGCCGCUUAGAUUGGAAGUAGGACGAGCACUGUGGCGGCCGCCCAGCUGAUCGGAGCCCAAGGAGGGUGGGGUUUGGGGUGCUCCGACGGCGGCGGUAGACAGCAGGUACAGCGUUGGCGAGUUAAGGAGGGCCCUACGAAGGUUAGGGGGACGAUGUGUGUCCCAUAACUAUUGCUUGUUCGUAUCUCUCUUUGAACACCCCGACGACGUAGGGUGCCCAAACUUGUCCUAACAUCAGAACACGGUACCGAAAUGCCGGAGGUUCUCAAGACCGCAAUAACAACUAGACCGUCUACUUAUUAUUUUAUUCCCUAAUCACAGAAAGCGAAACUGAAAUCACCUUUGCC